ensembl:lncRNA
CCUUUCUUCACUCUUCUUUCCUUCUUCCACUCUUCUUUACUUCUUCCACUCUUCUUUCCUUCUUCCACUCUUCUUUCCUUCUUUCAAUCUUCUUUCUUUUCUUCUUUCCUUCUUCCACUCUUCUUUCCUUAUUUCACUCUUCUUUCCUUCUUUCCUUUUUUCACUUUUCUUUUUUUUCUUCUCUCCUUCUUCCACUCUUCUUUCCUUCUUCCACUCUUCUUUCCUUUCUUCUUUCCCUUCUUUCUUUUCUUCUUUCCUUCUUCCACUCUUCUUUCCUAGCUUCACUCUUCUUUAAUUUCUUCAUUCUUUUCUUCUUUCCUUCUUCCACUCUUCCUUCCUUCUUCAACUCUUCUUUUCUUCUUCCACUCUUCUUUCUUUUCUUCACUCUUCUUUGCUUUCUUCUUUUCUUCUUUUACUCUUCUUUCUUUUCUUCUUUCCUUUCUUCACUCUUCUUGCCUUUAUUCUUUCCUUCUUCCACUCUUCUUUCCUUUUACUCUUCUUUCCUUUCUUCUUUCCUUCUUUCACUCUUCUUUCUUUUCUUCUUCCUUUCUUAACUUUUGCAUUUCAUGCACUGGUAUUUCCUUCAGGAAAUGCAUUUUCUAGUUAUUAUUCUUUGUACCGAACUUCUGCGCUUAAUUCAGCUCGAACCGCUUAACUUAGAAACUUUGUUCAAACUUUGCUGCGUAGGUCUUGUAAAGGACACUUAUGCUAUGUAUUUUUCAUUUUUCUAAACUUUAUACUUUUUAAAAUAUUAAAUAAAAACUAAUACAAUUUCUCCCAUUGACUUACAUUGGGCCAUUAUGACAUCAUAAUAGGGUCUUUAAACUGGCUUGCACCUGUGCUUCACUGACACUUGCGCCAAGGUUCCAAGGCUCCUCUUCUCUCUGUCCCUCUCCAUUCAACUGUAUAACUAGGAAUAUUAUUCUUUCCUUCUUCCACUCUUCUUCUUUCAUUCUUCCACUCUUCUUUCCUUCUUCCACUCUCCUUUCCUUUCUUCUUUCCUUCUUCCACUCUUCUUUCCUUCUUCUACUCUUCUUUUCUUUCUUCACUCUUCUUUCCUUCUUCCACUCUUCUUUCCUUCUUCUACUCUUCUUUUCUUUCUUCACUCUUCUUUCCUUCUUCUUUCUUUUCUUCUUUCCUUUCUUCACUCUUCUUUCCUUUCUUCUUUCCUUCUUCCACUCUUCUUUCCUUCUUCUACUCUUCUUUUCUUUCUUCACUCUUCUUUCCUUCUUCCACUCUUCUUUCCUUUCUUCUUUCCUUCUUCCACUCUUCUUUCCUUCUUUCUCUCUUCUUUCUUUUCUUCUUUCCUUCUUCCACUCUUCUUCCACUCUUAUUUCCUUCUUUCACUCUUCUUUCUUUUCUUCUUUCCUUCUUCCACUCUUUUUUCCUUCUUUCACUCUUCUUUCCUUCUUUCACUUUUCUUUUUUUUUCUUCUUUCCUUCUUCCACUCUUCUUUUCUUUCUUCACUCUUCUUUCUUUUCUUCUUUCCUUCUUCCCUUCUUCUUUCCUUCUUCGACUCUUCUUUCCUUUCUUCUUUCCUUUCUUUACUCUUCUUUCCUUUCUUAUUUCCUUCUUUCACUCUUCUUUCUUUUCUUCUUCCUUUCUUAACUUUUGCAUUUCAUGCACUGGUAUUUCCUUCAGGAAAUGCAUUUUCUAGUUCUUCUUCUACUUCUUAUUAUUCUUUUUACCGACUUCUGCGCUUAAUUCAGCUCGAUUUUCCUUCUUUCCUUCUUCCACUCUUCUUUCCUUCUUCCACUCUUCUUUCCUUUCUUCACUCUUCUUUUCUUUCUUCUUUCCUUCUUCCACUCUUCUUUCCUUCUUCACUCUUCUUUUCUUUAUUCUUUCCUUCUUCCACUCUUCUUUCCUUUCUUCUUUCCUUCUUCCACUCUUCUUUCCUUCUUCCUCUCUUCUUUCCUUCUUUUUCUCUUAUUUCCUUCUUUUUCUCUUAUUUCCUUUCUUCUUUCCUUCUUCCACUCUCCUUUCCUUUCUUCUUUCCUUCUUCCACUAUUCUUUCCUUCUUCUACUCUUCUUUCCUUUCUUCACUCUUCUUUCCUUCUUCCACUCUUCUUUCCUUCUUUUACUCUUCUUUCCUUUCUUCUUUGCUUCUUCACUCUUCUUUCUUUAUUUCUUCCCUUCUUAACUUUUGCAUUUCAUGCACUGGUAUUUCCUUCAGGAAAUGCAUUUUCUAGUUUAAAUUAAAUUCCCACAACAAUAACAUUAAACAUAUUUUCAGAGCAUAUUUCAAAGAUGGAGUACAACAUGAAAAAUUGAACAAUAUAAUGAAGGUUUCUGUUGAUGAAAUGUAUGCAAAUGUUAGGACAUCCUAUUGUUUGCCAAUGUCACUAUGGCCAUGUGAAUCCUUAUAAACAGCCUGAGUUUUGUUUGAUUGAACAAUGAUG